rnacentral:misc_RNA from 1 species
CGCACAUUGCGCCCACUAGUAUUCUGGUGGGCAUGCCUGUUCGAGCGUCAUUAAGUCCACUCAAGCUUCAUCGCUUGGAAUUGGGAGACUACUUCACUGUAGCUCCUCAAAGACAGCGGCGGAGUUGUGUUAUCCUCUGAGCUUAGUAAUUCGUUCUAGCUUUUGAAGUGACACAUCGCUUGCCGUAAAACACCCAUCUUUUUUAUGGUUGACCUCGGAUCAGGUAGGAAUACCCGCUGAACUUAA